GCAGUCAUGGCUGAGCGGUCAAGGCGGUGGACUAGAAAUCCACCGGAGUCUUCCUGCCACUUUCCCGGCUGCU
rnacentral:tRNA from 1 species